CCUACCUAAAUAAUAAAUAUCUAUUGAAGAUAUAUUUUAUUCUGUUUUGAUAAAAAUGUAAAAAUUUUAGUCAAAUGAAUAUGAUGCACAUACUCAAUUAGAAAUUCAAGCAUAUGUAGCUUUAUAUAAAACUCAUGAUACAAUUUGAAUUACAAAAAAUGAACAUUACCCAAUAAAAUUUUAAAAAAGUACAGUAAGUAUAUAUAUUUUUGACCGGUAAGACUUACAAAUAUUUUGUUCAGCUGCUUUACAGCUUGUAGAUCAUGAAUGUGAUAUCACCGGAACACUGACUAUUUAAUGGACAAAACGAAUUAAGUGUGCACACUCAAUUCAUAUUCAAUGUGCAUGUAUUUUUGGUGUUGAUACAAAACUUUGUAUUAAUUUUGCAGUAAUAAUAUAAGGACCAGCCUGAUAAUAUUGUUCAGGAGGAUGCCAAUCAGUCGAAACACUGUAUGGUGGUAAACUCAAGUAUGUAGCUGAAUUUGAGCGGCUAUAUAAUUCAGGACCA
rnacentral:lncRNA from 1 species